rnacentral:lncRNA from 1 species
GGCUAUCUGAGUGGGUUAUUAGGCAGCUGAUGUGUAAAUAAAAAAAGAUUAUUUUAGUAUUUAUUUAAACAUUUAUUAUACAGUAAGGUCAAAUUCGUCAAAUCACUUUAAAACCUAACAAAAAUUACUUUGACUUCAUCCUCUUCGUUUUCUCUUUCUCUGUUUGAAUUCAUCCUCUUUGUUUUCUUUUCCACCAACCUCCAUAGCUUAGUCUCAGGUUCCUCUACUCGCCAUUCACAAGAUUCAACAAAAUCACCCACAACAUGAAGAGGAGAAGAAGGAGAAACUCAUCCAGCCCAAAAUCUACCAAAAAGAGGAAAUAAUUAUCACACACCAAAAACCACAACAAAAUAUCAAACACCUUAC